AACGAACGCUGGCGGCAUGCCUAACACAUGCAAGUCGAACGAGACCUUCGGGUCUAGUGGCGCACGGGUGCGUAACGCGUGGGAACCUGCCCUUAGGCUCGGAAUAACUCCCCGAAAGGGGUGCUAAUACCGGGUAAUGUCUUCGGACCAAAGAUUUAUCCCCUUUGGAUGGGCCCGCGUUGGAUUAGCUAGUUGGUAGGGUAAAAGCCUACCACGGCGACGAUCCAUAGCUGGUCUGAGAGGAUGAUCAGCCACACUGGGACUGAGACACGGCCCAGACUCCUACGGGAAGCGGCAGUGGGGGAUAUUGGACAAUGGGCGAAAGCCUGAUCCAGCAAUGCCGCGUGAGUGAUGAAGGCCUUAGGGUUGUAAAGCUCUUUUACCCGGGAUGAUAAUGACAGUACCGGGAGAAUAAGCACCGGCUAACUCCGUG
rnacentral:rRNA from 1 species